GACGAACGCUGGCGGCGUGCUUAACACAUGCAAGUCGAGCGGUAAGGCCCUUUCGGGGGUACGCGAGCGGCGAACGGGUGAGUAACACGUGGGUGACCUGCCCUCAGCUCUGGGAUAAGCCUGGGAAACCGGGUCUAAUACCGGAUAUGACUCCAUGACGCAUGUUGUGGGGUGGAAAGCCUUGUGCGGCUGAGGAUGGGCCCGCGGCCUAUCAGCUUGUUGGUGGGGUGAUGGCCUACCAAGGCGACGACGGGUAGCCGGCCUGAGAGGGCGACCGGCCACACUGGGACUGAGACACGGCCCAGACUCCUACGGGAGGCAGCAGUGGGGAAUCUUGCGCAAUGGGCGAAAGCCUGACGCAGCGACGCCGCGUGAGGGAUGACGGCCUGG
rnacentral:rRNA from 1 species